GAGACCGCGGGGCCAGGCUCUCCAGUUAGCGUCAGCGCCUGGGCGGGUCCCGGACGCCUUGGGCGGGCCGGGUAAGGUCCAGCCGUAUCCGCCUCCUUCAUGUCCCGCUGUGGGAAGGGCUCUGGAGCGCCGGGACUGUGAGAUGGCCAAUGACGGUCUGACCCGUUGGGCCGGGCCAGGUCGCGGACAACGUCGACCGUUUGUUUAAGAAGCGUGGACUCUUGUCCUGAGUGCACCGAGGCUUUCAGCCUGCGGGACAGUGGUGCGAUUUGCAUUAGAGAAAGGGAGAUGCCAUGUGCUGGCCCAGCACUCCAACAGGGGCCUGACCUCUAGGAACGGGACACUGGAGGAAGCCUAGACAUUUGAACAAAUCAAGUCAUCCAGAUCCACGGUCAGCUCCUGCCCCGACUUGGCCUUCCUCCUGCUUUGCUGGCCCACGGACCUCGGGAACCUGCCCUGGCUGUGGGUGACCUGCAGGUACUGGUCAGCGUUGCUGUUCUGCUGGUCACUGCUGGAUGCUGCCGACACGGAGUCAGAUUCCGUGAGGGAUGGCUCGAACCUGGGCUUCUCUCUGGGCUUCAUAGGGGGCUGUGGGUAUUGGAAAUUCCGGGAUCGUGGCUUUUUGGGCACAUAGGCUGGCCUCUCAAGGUGACCCUCAAAAUCUUCAUUCCACGACUUGUAGUGCACCCUCCCCUGGUGCUCGGGAUCCAGGGUCUGACUUUCGGACCUCUCCCCAAUAUAAAAAUGAGGAGCCCGACGGAGGUCUAUCAGGGAGCGUGGGGGAAGAGACCGUUUGAUCCAAUCUCUCCUUGGCGUCUCCUCCUCUUCUUCACUCAGCUGUGGGGAGGGAGGCUGGCGGGGGACCCGGGAUGCAUAUUGUCGCACGUUCCUGGGGUACAGCUCCACAAUGUCACCUGAAGCAUCUAUCUUGAAAUGUCUUUCUGGCCAGACAUUUAGAUGUUUUUUCUUGUAAGAGUCACGUUCAUUAAUGACAUAGUAUCUGGGGGCGUGGGGCCUGGGACCCUGUGCCAGCAAAGUCGAGGCCUGUGGUCCACGGUGAGGAGGGUUGAUUUGCUGAAAGUCUUUUCGGAAAAGAGGUUCUGAGUGUACAUCUUCGAUGUGUGUUGUAAAUGUCAUAGGUGUGCGCGAUCUGUUCCUGUGAAGGUCACUGGUGCUUGCACACAGACCAUGCAGAUACCUGUAAGACAGGGGCGGUUAAGUAGCUGUGGCCUUGGUGGUCUCAGAGCCCCACACCUGAGGACUGUGAGCUGUGAGCAGUUCUCUGAGCAUUUUCACUGAGGCUGGUUCCAACUGGUUAAUGGGUGCGGAUUGUGUGCACAGAGACAUUUGGGGGACAGGGCUAAACAGUUUUCUUUACUGCUGGAAUUUUCAGAACCUAAAUCAGUGAUGUACACGUGAGUCUCCAUGAAGACUGCAGAGCGAGGGGUGUUGUGCUAGUGUAUUUCAUCACAGAGCCCUCUUUGUGUCAAGAGGCACAUAGUGGGACUAGUAUCUGUGAAGCACUUGUUAGGAACACAGUUUCUCAUCCUUUCUGCUAAGCAGCUGUCUGAUUCUCAAGCACUUCUCUGAGUUUCCACUGGUGGGUGGAGGGGAGUUGUACAUAUUAAACAGUUCUUCCCUGGCCAGGUACGGUGGUUCACAUUUGUAAUCCCAGCACUUUGGGAGGCCAAGGCAGGUGGAUCACUUAAGGUCAGGAGUUUGAGACCAGCCUGGCCAACAUGGUGAAACCCGGUCUCUAUUGAAAAUACAAAAAAAUAGCCGGGUGUGGUGGCAGGUGCCUGUAAUCCCAGCUACUCGGGAGGCUGAGGCAGGAGAAUUGCUUGAACCUGGGAGGUGGAGGUUGCAGUGGGCCGAGAUUGCACCACUGCACUCCAGCCUGGGUGACAAGAGCAAAACUGUAGUCUCAAAAAAAAAACAAAAAAAAACAAAAAGUUCUUCCUGAUAAAGACUUGAAUCUGUAUGGUGGCUGUAGUUUGACCCCUAGUGGCCUCUCAAGGAGUGUUUGAACCCUUUCUCCUUGUCAAGACCCCACAGAGACAGGCAGACAACUCCUUAUAUAACAAGACUUCAAGUUCUUUGCUAACUUAGUCAUUAUCUUUAAAAAAGAGAGCCCCUGUAUUUUAUCUAUAUUGCUUUCGCUGUGCUACAUUCAGAUCAAAUAUAAUUCUCCAUAUGAGUUUGGGCCACCGCAGGUCUGUCCCCUUCAUCUUUCCAGGGGUCCUACCUCCAUUAAAGUAGGAAGGGAUCUACUGCUUUCUUUGAUCCCAUGUAAUGCAUAAAUGGUCUUGCCAAUAACUUGACCAGACUAGAGCUAAAAUAUGGAAGAUCUUGCCAAUGAUAUGGCCACUGUGGAACUAAAAAAUAAGCAGUUAUUUUCUUAGCCUAGACAAAUGUUUAUCCUAGGUUGGCUGGAAGGUUUGCUUACAAGUUAAAUGGCAGAUAACCUAGGAGGAAGAAUUUGUCCUGUUUGAUAAACUUUGACACCCCCACCCCACCUCCAUUUCUUUUUAGUACCAGCUGUCAUAGUCUCCUGACCCAUGCCUUCUGGGAGAAUUAGAAUUUAAUGGCCUUGGCCUCCUGAAGCUGCUGAGGCCUUCAAAUCUCUCACAUUCCAGGUUUUAAUCUGUGCUGCAAUGGAGCCUCACCUGUUAGUUUCAUGCUCUAGCCUGGAUUUGGAGACCCCAGGGAGAAGUGAGCUAGGAGCCCUGUCCCCUGGCCUGGGGCUCUGGGGCAUGGACUGUGCGACUGUCUCUAUUCUGCCACUCUUGCUGCUCCCUGAGUCAAAAUGGGCCACGUUGCCGUUGUUUUGGGGUGUGCCCGAGUACGCUGAGGACAGCUGGCUGGUAAGAUCACUGUCGUUGGGAAGCUUCUUGGUGCUUUCUUCCUGGGUCUGGAUUCGGGCUGCAGGGAGAGGGAGGUGUUGUGAGAAGACAAGUGUCACUGAGCAGGUAACAACUUCAGAUGAGUUGAGUUGCAAGAGUUUUAUGACAUCCAAGAGUUGGUCUGCAAACAAUUGAGUGCACUUACAAAUACACCUAACCAGUGGGCAACAAACAUUCUGUAAUUCAAAUGAUCUCAUCCCUGCAAGUUGGAGCUGGGAGUGUAGGAGGAAUCAAGUGAACACAAGGCUUUACAGUGCUCCACCUGAUGCUCCCAUGAGGCAAAGCAAGUACUUAACAGCUUUGGGCCUCCAGUUCCUUAUCUCUUCAAUGGAGAUAAUAAAGCUUACACAACAAUUAUGAUUCUUUGGAAACAGUUCACAUGCAUUCUGAAAAAAGAUGUGGUCUCGAGCUGGAAAAUGAACACUGGACAAUGCUAUUGUUAUCCUGAAACAGUCUAUGUGGAUUCUGGCUUUUGAAGGUGACCUGAACUAAAUUUAAUUAUGCUUAAUUGGCAAAUAAGCGAUGACAAUUACAGAGGCAUUUUAUGGCGUGAGCCACAGUCACUUUCAGUAAUCAUUAUCAAUUGUAGGCUUCUCUCUGAAAAGCUGAUGGAGCAAGCAAGCAUAAUCCUUAGGCCUUAGAGCUCUUGCUCAGGCAUUUUUCUGGAGAGGAAUAUUUCCCUUCCAAUUAGUGAAGUAUUGCAACAGCUGUGAGAGCUAGCCCCUAAAGCCCUUCUGGGUCCCAUUCUCAUUCAUGUAGGCUGUGCCAUGUUAAUGGUGCCCAGUGAGCCUUCUAGCUCACAGCACUCUGUUAGUGGUCCUGAGAAACAGAUCCAUCUCCUUCGAGCUGCCGUUGCCCACUUUCUUCCCUUCAGGCCCCAGCAGACUUCUACGCCACAUGCUUCCAUUCUCCCUGCUCUGCAGGGACAGGGCAGAACCUAAGGAGGCUCAGGGAAGGGACCUGGGAGGGAACAUUGCAAGGAAGAGAUGGGCCAUGGAGAGGAAGUAUACAAAAGUGACCCAGACAAAGAGAUUCUUUGGGCUUUCAUCCAUGUGAAUGUGCUGCUUUUCCUCUCCUACUUCGAUACUUCCUUCUGAUUUUACACAUGUUUUGGGAUUAUUCAUGGGCCUGGAUAUGAUAUAAAAAUUAAAGAUUUAAAACAACAUUUAUAUCCCUAGAUUUUAUUUUAUUGUGCAUAGUUACUGAUGAAAAACCACAGGUUAUCAGGAAUUUGUAUUGGUAGUAUACUGCAAACUACUUUAAAUGGCUGUAUUUUUAAAUGCCCACUAACUGAGACAGCAGAUCUCUGCAUUUAAAAAAAAUAUUAGGACAGGUGCAGUGGCUCACACCUAGAGCUAGCUCUAGGGGCUAGCUCUCCCCAGCACUUUGGGAGGCCAAGGUUGGUGGAUCAUGAGGUCAGGAGUUUGAGACCAGCCGGACCAACAUGGUGAAAAUGUAAAAAUUAGCCAGGUGUGAUGGCACGCACCUGUAAUCCCAGCUACUCAGGAGGCUGAGGCAGGAGAAUCACUUGAACCCGGAAGGUGGAGGUUGCAGUGAGCCAAGAUCACACCACUGCACUCCAGCCUGGGCGACAGAGCAAGACUCUGCCUCAAAACAAAACAAAACAAAACAAAAAAACAACAACAAAAAGAAACGGAAAUACUUACCUUCUACCAUCUGGGCAACCUUUUUCUUAUCCUCUGAUCUUGCCUAAAAUGCAAAUGAUAUGCAUGUUUGUUUUGGCUUUAGCAGGAAGCAGUAACAAAUAUUAUUCCUGGGGGAAGAGAAAAAGAUUUACAUGCCAUAGUUCUUACCUUGGACCAUAACUGUACUACUAUUGCCCCCUAUGGACGGUAUGCUCUGGGCUCGGGCCUGUUAUUUGAGUGAAUAAAUGCAGAUACCUGACAGCUGAAGUUUUAUGCCUAGCCAGUUUUAUUUAGGGACAGCUAAUUAACAGACCAUGUUUAGAUUAUGUCCAUAAUAGUUUGCCUGAAUCACAAAGAAAAAAAUACAGAUCGACAACACUGGAGAUGCAUGUUUCCACCAAAAUGGCCUUUGUAACUCCAAAUGGAUUUCCAAUUAGAAGCUAAUUUGUGUUUCUUGGUAUGAAUUGAUGUUCAUGGGAAGUUUUUUUUUUUCUGAUAGAAGUGGUAGGAGUUUUUUUGCAUGGGUGAGGUCAGUGAGGCAUCUGGGGUGCCAAAUUUAAGGAGGCACUUAUUUUCAGGGCUGUGAAAGGACAGAAUCAGCAUUACGCUUACAGAGCCUCCUUAAAUGUGGUGCUUUGGGAGCCUCACUGGCCUCAUCCCAGUCCUGGGAUCCUUCCUUGGGGUCUGGAGGACCCAGGGCACUAAGGGAACACCUGGGGUAUGUGGAGGAGGAGAAAUUGUGGGAGUUUUGGAAGCAUGUGUCUCCCUGGGACUGCUCUGAGAGAUAGGGUUUGAGCCCCAUGGAGAGAAGGUAAUGACAGCCACAUCUAAAGGAUAUGAAAGAGGUGAGGCUUUAGGGACAAACAGUGCUGCUGGGCUCAGAUGCCCAAGUCGACAAGGAUUGGGAAGGGGCCCUUUGUCUCCCCUGCCAAUCUACCAGAGCUCACAAAAGUACCUGGCACACUGAGGGCUUGGUGUGGUCACAGGGUGGGCACUGAAAGGCUCGAGGCAGCAGCAAGGCCUCUUGAGGAGGAAGAAAAACAGGAGAGCAGCCUUCCUCCUAGCAAAGGGGAGCCAUCCCUGGGUAUUCUUAGAAAUAACUCUUGGACAUCUGGGGAUUGGUGGCCUUGCACCAUAGUGGGUGGCCAAGAGUCACAGAAACCUUGAAGAUGUGACCUCACUUGUAUUCCCACGCUGGCGGGAUCUCAGUCAUGUGGUUGACACAUAUUCAUAAUAGCAAAGUUCAUGAAAUACUUGCGUUUUGGAUCUGCAUUUUGAGCUGGUGGUUGCUGAGCUUUAGAGACCGUGCGAUGCUCUGGAGAUAAUAGAUGAGCAUGCUAGGACAGAACAACACAGGACAAUGAGUGGACUGCAACUUGCUUUUCUGCUUUUCAGACCACAUUCCCUGCAGAGAGUUGGCAGGAAUGAGAGGCUCCCAGGCCAGAUGCGGGCUAUCCACUGACCCUCCACUAAGGACAAAAUGUAUCAGCAAAUUCUCAAGCCAGUGAGCACUGGGAAGGGGCUGCUUUUGUUUUCUCUUCCUGGCUUUCCACAGCACCCUCGUUGACCUGGAAUUCUGCACUGGUGAUAGCAAUAAGGAAGAACUGAAAAUGGGGGAGAAAUUUUGCAGUCUAUCAAGCUAUGAGUACAGGAUCCACUCACUUUUAUUUUUUUUUCCUUUAAACCAAAAUAAGCCAAAGCUACUCAGCUGAGUUGUGAAAUUCCUUUUCAGGACUAUUUAAGUUUCUAGAAAAUGACAAUGGCAUUCAGCCCCAUUCCAGUGAUCACAGUAAUUGACCAAAUGGUGUUGAUGGAUCAGUAACCACCUCAAUGGCAAUGGAGUGCUCCCUCACCGCCCCUCACUGAGACCCAGUGGCUGUGUCUCCAUGGCACAGUGCCUCAUGUGACUCUGGUGUGUGACUCAGAGUCCCUGUUGAGAUCAUCAGGCUCUAAGCCUAAGUGAUUUUUGAAUGAACUAAUAAAUUUUAUGUAAUUAUUGGAAAGCAGCGUUUUCUUGUUGGCCAAACACACGGAAGUCCCUCCAAAGCUGGCAGGUGUGGUACUCACAAAAGCAGGAGUACCGCGGGCAGGAUGACCACGGGGCUACUGAUGUGUCCAACCACGGAGCCAAACCACACGGGAAAGUCUUUCUCAAUCGUUUCUGACACAAUGUCAUAAAUUUUCUCUUGUCCACUGUGAGAAAGAAAAACAUAACUCCAGAUUUUAUUGCUCUUGGCAGAAAGAUGCUGCAAGACAUCAGAAAAUGGCUGGAUGCCUGGAGGCCAAUUCAUAACAUUCCUCAAAUGAUUUCAUAUCUAAUUAAUAUGGAGGAUGGAAGAUGGGGUCAUUAAUCACAUUGCAUGUAUGUGUGUGUUCUAAUCGUGUACACUAAGGUAGACUAAAUAUUCCAUGUUGUAUCAAAGCUGACUUGAAUGCUGGAUGAAGAUACUAGAGGGUUUUGCUUGAAUACAGCUGGAUAAUAUAGGAAAAAAAGUGCUGUGCACUGUGGUUUAAUAAAAGCUUUCUGUGUUUUGACCAGGUAGAAUGUCCUCUAGCACAGAACAAUGCUGUUUCUCUUUUUCACUUUAAAAGGAUUAUGUUUUUUAACAUGAGCACAGAGAUGAUUAUACUAAGGGCAGCCUUCUAUUAAGGAAAGAGCACUGGUCUUGGAUUUAAAACAUGCGGGUUUGCAAUCUUUCUAUCCUGUUUACCUGCUCUGUGAGCUUGGAGGAGAAUUCAGUUCAAUAUGAUUUAAUUCCCUUACAGCUGUCAGUCGCUCCGGGCAGAGCUGGGAACGAAACUUACCUGAAUGGCCCACAGUUUAGAGAUGGCUUGUAUCGGACAAUAGCAAAAAUGGUUGGCAGCAUGCACAGAAACAGCAUAAACAGGAGCAUUGCCAAGUAGAAGUUGUUGGAUCUGCAGAUAAAUCAGAUGUCAUGUGUUAAGUUCACUCCAUAGCCAGUUGCCAGGGUUGCAUAUGCCCAAAGAGCUGCCACAGAAACGGUUGCCCUGACUCUUUGCAAACUAAAAAUCGUCCUCUCAGGGUUACCUACAAAUGAUUCUGUCAUAGGGUCACAUGCAGCUUAGAAACCUAGAAAUCAGCGUUCAAAGGAACUUCAGAGAUCUCCCACCCAACCUGUUCAUCUAAUAAACAUUUGCUGAGCACCUGUUCACCUCAAACCAUGCGAGUGGUGAACUCACCCUGGCACCCAGGAGUUCCACACAGUAAACUCGAUUUAUGGAAAAAUCUUAGAAGCAUUGCCCAUCCAUCUGGGUCCUUACCUAAUGGUUCCCUCUCCUAUUCCCAGGCUUGAACUUGUCUCUUACGUCUCGGGAUGGUUUGGCUCUUUUGUUUAUGAUUCCUGACUCUCUCACUUGGGUGUGAUUUGCACUCCCUCUUAUCCACUCCACAUGUGGCUGCCCAGGGUAUGUGUUCUACCUGAUUAAGCCCUGGUCCCUGAGCCCUAAGCUAGUGUCAGGGAGUUUGGAUGCCCAGAGCUCCCCUGAGGGCAACUUAGACCUGUUUGGUGUGCAAGGCCCUGUACACAGUUCAGAAAAGAGAAUGAGGGGUCAAUCUAGUUACUUUCAACUAGUACUCUCUGUUGGUCUGUUUCUCUGUCUCUCUCUCUCUCUCUCUCUCUGUCUCUCAUGAAAAAGACUUGACUAAAAGAGAACAGAAGAUUUCAGAGAGCACAGAAUGUAGUAGGAGAGUGAUAAGUUGUGAAACUUCUUUCUCUUUCUCUAUCCACAGACACACAUACAUACAUAUAAUAAAUAUACAUACACAUAUAUACAACAUAUAUAAAUAUAUCAAAACAUAUCUCUGAAUGUAUUAAUAUAUGUGUACUGUCAUGAGAUAAAAUGCAUUGUCAAGUAGGUCAUGAGCAAAAGUUUGAAAGCCACUGAUAUAGACACACAUAACCAUAUGUCAAAGUAAAAUAACUGAAUCAAAGUAUUUAGAAUGUGUUAUGAAUUCACCAAAAUUGCUAAAAUUAAAACAGAUAAAAGAAUAAGUGUUGGCGAGGUUAUAAAACACUUGGAACUCUCAUAUAAUGCUGCCAGACAUGUAAAAUGGGGUGUUCAUUUUAGAAAACUUUUUGGUGCUAUUUGCUAACGGUGAACAUAUGCAUGCCCUGUGUCCCAGCAAUUGCAUUCCUAGGUAUAUAUGCAACAAAGAUACUUAGGAUGUUCAAGGCAGCAUUACUCAUUAUGGCUAACAGCUGGAAGCAACCUACAUGCCCGUCAACAGGAGCCAGGAUAAAGAAAUUGGGGUAUAUUUUCUCCAUGAGUUGAAUCUCACAAACACAAUGUUGAGUGUAAGCAGUUGGGCACAAAGGAGCACAUACUGUGUGUGUGUGUGAUUACGUUUACAUCAAGUAAAACCCAGGCAAGCCUAAUUAUGCCAUUAGAAGUUGGCAGUGAUUGGAAUGACAUACAAGUGGGCAUGCUCUGGGUGCCAUUUGUGUUUUGUUUUUUGAUCUGAGUGCCUUGUGUUCAGUUUUUGAAAACUCAUCAAGCUAAACAUUUAUGAUUUGUGUACUUUUUUUCUAAAGGAAUAUUAAACUUCAGCAAAACGUUUUAAAAGUGUCAUGAGUUCAAGAGGAGUAAUGAUUCAUUGAAAGAGUAAGACAUUGGAAAUGGCUCUUGGAGGAGACAAAAUUGGAGGACAGGCAAGAUUCUGACAGGAAGAGAGUUGGGGGGACCCUUUGCUAGAGGACCCCUGGGUAAGGCAAGCAUGGAUUAUAUAUAUGUAUAUAUAGUUAUCUGCAUGAUCAGAUCUUAUUCUUACUCACCUUGAGGCUCGAAAUACUUGCUGGUGGGGCACAUUGCAGGUCAGCACAGCCCAGCUCCUCAGGUACAUGAGCCCAAUGAGUUUGAGAACGUUGAACGCUGGGAGACAUGGGGAGAAGAAGGCCCCCAUCCUGGAACCAUGAGGAAGGUCGGUUUGCAUCUGUUCUUUUCCAGCCUAUCUCCCAGGACUAUGGAAGCCCCAUGCAGGAACAUGGUUCUGAGACUUUGGGGGUUAUACCCUAAGCUUAGAGAACUGGAAAAGCCCCUGAAGUCCCGAGACCACAACCCUCCACCUUCUAAAGAUAAGACAAGUCACUGAAGGACAAGAGUGUGGCCAAGCAUCAAUCUCACCCCCAGAGACCAGACGGUGUCCAGGUCUUGGGCAGACGAAACCUGCUCCUUGGGGAUGGUCUUCCUGGCUGUGCUUCCAAAGGGCUGGCCUGCAAUCAGCUGGUUUUCACUUGAUCCUUUCGGGGUUUGCAUUAUAUCUGACUGAAGGAAUGAACUGGGAGAGAACAGCAGAGCCGCAGCGGAAUGUGGAAAGGCCCACGUCGAGACUGUUCCCAUUCUGGGAAUGAAGAUGACCACAAAGUUACAGGCGAGACGAGCAAAUUUCCGCCAGAGCUAGACAAGAGGGGUCAGGAUUAGAGAGGUCACAUACGUGAAGAUGGCAAUGGCUGUGCAGUACUAGGCACCUAAAUGGAAUAUACCAGACACUCCCUCUGGUACCUUUAAUUAUGGAUUAUGGCUUCAUAGGCCUUUAAGCUGCACUAGAACCAAAGUAGCUCCCUUGUCUGUGCUCCUAACCAGGUGAAUGGACACCAGCUUUGGAGGAAUAAUGCAAGCUGCAGCCCCAUAGAAUAUGCACCUCAAUACAGACACCACCCGAGCCGUGAUGCCUGUAUUGAAGUGCAUAUUCUAUAGGGUUGCAGUUUGCAUUAGCCAUCCCAUUCCUGAUGAGGGGUAUCUUUUGCUCUUUGAGAAAAAAAAAUUUUUUUAACUUUUGGCAAUUACAUCUUAAAACCACAAGACACAGUACAAAUUACUCGAGGAAUGAUAUCUAAAUAAAUCCACUUGAUCCUGUCAUAAACCUAAGGGGAUUCUGAGAGUGUGCCCCAGGAAUCCAGAUGCCUAACAGACUCCCCAGGUGAUUACAAGUGCAUCCCUGUUUAAGGACCAAGAGUCUAGAGCCUACCCUGAAAAUGAGCCCCACCCUAAUGUGUGACUCGCCUCCUGCUACAGCCUCUUUCCUGGAUAGAGCUGUCAGGGAUAAGGUCUAAAAAUUUGUCUUGUAUUUUUGGCCGGGCGCGGUGGCUCACGCCUGUAAUCCAACACUUUGGGAGGCCAAGACGGGCAGAUCACGAGGUCAGGAGUUCGAGACCAGCCUGGCUAAUAAAGUGAAACCCAGUCUCUACUAAAAAUACAAAAAUUAGUCAGGUGUGGUGGCGUGCGCCUGUAGACCCAGCUACUCUACUGAGGCAGAAGAAUCGCUUGAACCCGGGAGGCAGAGGUUGCAGUGAGCCGAGACCGUGCCACUGCACUGCAGCCUGGGGGACAGAGUGAGACUCCAUCUCAAAAAAAAAAAAAUUGUCUUAUGUUUUUAAGAUGCAAUUGCCAAAAGUUUAAAAAACAUUUCUCAAAAGCGAAUAAAGCAAGACAUGCCCUGACACUAGUUCUGCUUCCAACAAAGUUGGCAGGUUGUGCAUUUUAACACACAAACAAUCUGGGUUUGUGCUGGAAGCAAAUGAUAUCAUUGCAGAAAGAGGGAUUACAAAUGUAAUUAUGACAUUCUGAACUAUAAGACCACACAUGGUCCCGGUAUAGACAUGUAUGAUAAUGUCAUUCUGGACGUGUCUGCUGAGGCCAGAAUGGCUGCUUGUAAAUGAAAAUCUGAAUUUUAUCAGAAGUUUAUCAGAAGUUGUUCAUCUUCUGUUCAUGAUUUGAGAGCCAACUCAAAUACAGCCACUCCCACGAACACAGAAUCUCUGUAGCCAGAAAAGAAAUUCUCCUCUUUGUAAACUCCCCCAGCAAUAAUUUUUGGUCUCUCUCAUAAUGUUUAUCAUAUCCUACCUUACAUUACCUUAAUUUUGUUCACCUGGCUUGUCUCCUAGGGCAUAGAGAGGGAGAGGCAGGCUUUCUGAUCAUUUAUUCCCCCAGUAUCCCGAGGAAGGGGUGCACCAUCAUCCUUUGGCAAGGGCUUGGUGUUGGAAAGCAUUGAGUCUCUGGCCCGUUUUAAAGCCCUGAAGUCUAAGAAGCACAGGGCAGAAAGCCAGAGACCUGAGUUCUAGCUCUAAUUUCACAUCUAUCUCACUAUGUGUCCCUGGGGAAGUUAUUUUAUUUCCUUGGAUUCCAUUUCUCCAUCUGUAUAAGAAGUAAGAUUUGAUUAGUGGCAUUCAGAGUGCUCUUUAAAUUUAAAGUUGUAUGAGAAUUUUCAUACAUGCAACGGGCUAAGGCAGGGCAACUUUUGUAGGUGGGGGUAAAAAAUCUCCCCCACCACCCCAUCAGUAGUGCUUGAGGAGCCAGGGCCCUUGAACUCAGGUUAGAGAGCACUGGACUGAAUGGCCCAAGAUGCUCAUUCUGGGAAUAAGAGUCUAUGCAAGUUGGCCUAAAGGAACUUCUUAAAGGAAAAUGUGAUUGAAAAAGGUGAUUUGUUGAUGACAUGUUCAGUAAGGCAUGGGGGAAAAAGUUUCAUGCUUCUCUGAUGAUUUAUACCAAAUCUCCACAGCAAAAGCCUUGAAACAGGAAUAAUUCAAAAUUUAAGAAAAAAGCAAAAUCAAAACAAAGAAAAACUAAACUUGGAAGAAAUAGAUCCUAAUUGUGGGUUUGGGUUAUUGAGCUUUGGUAACUAAGAAUAAGUUCUUUCUUUGGAAAGACUUACAUGUCCACGCAGAAGAUAUUUAACAACAUAUAUGAUAGUUCAUGUAAAGUAUAUUUAUUCAUAGUAUGUGUUAAGCACCUAGAUUGUGUUGACCUAUCAACAUGUCAACAUGAACUAUCAUACAUGUUGUUAGAUAUGUGAUACAUGCACAUAUCAUUAUACAUACAUACAUAUGUAUGUAUACAUGUAUCGUUAUACAUGUAUGUAUCAUACAGAUCUAACAAUAUGUAUGACAGUUCAUGAGAAGUAUAUUUAUUCAUAGUAUGUAUUAAGCACCUAGGUUGUGUUUUCCUGUGAAUGCAGAUAGUGAACACGACAUGCAAGAUGUCAGCUGGUGUGGAGUUUGCAUUCAGGUAGAGACAAGGCAGUCACAAGCAAGUCCAUGCCACAAUGGGACACAGUCUAUUAGGACUGGAGGAGAAGGCCCUUUAAACAAGGUCAGGGAAGGUCUAGCUGAGGAGGUCAUACUUCAGCUGAGACUUGAAUGAAAAGGAAAAUGAAAAGUAAAUGGGAAGAGUAGCUUUCUAAAAGGGGAGAACAGCCAGUACAAGUUGUGGGUUAGCACGAGCUGAGCGUUUCACAGAAGGGGAUGGAGGAGAGAGGAGCGAGAUAAAAAUUUGGAUUACCUUACUGAGUGUAAAAACUCUGCUUCUAAUAAUUCAGCCCAUUAUCAAGUUAUACCUUUAAUAAUACUGAGUUUACUAUUGCUAAAAGUCUCAAUAGCUUUUCAUUGUUAUAUAUAUAUUAUAGGUCGUUUGAAUUCAGGUGAAAUACUUUAUUUCCUGUAGCACUUCAGCUUAUUUAGAGAAAACAAAAGAGCUUGGUAGUUCAUAUGUCUACAAAAAGAUAAUUUAUUUCAUAAACUCCAUCAUAGUGUGGCAGGAAUAAGGAGUCAUGGAUGAUUUGGUCAUAAAAACAGAUUAGAAUUGUAAAGAAGAUUUUUGUGAAGAGUAAGAAGAAAGAAUGCCAAGAUGUGUCCUUAGGGAUUCUUUGAUAGUUUAUAAUUUUUAAGACAUGUAAAAUUUAUGACCAGCUUUAAUUUAAGCUAUAUUAAGAAUAUUUUUGUUUCAGAGAAUCUAAAAAGAGUGUAUCUGUCAGUUAUUGUCUCUUAAGAUAACAAACAAAAAUGUAAUAAUCAACAUUGGUGCAGGUAUUAUGAGACUAAUAAUGGCGAUAUAAAUCAUCAAGGCUUUUAGAAAAUAAUCUUUAAAUAUUUAUCAAAAGCCAAACAAUGGACCACAGUCUUUUCUAUAGGGAUUGCAAUUCUGGCAUUCACCCUAAGAAAAAAAUUCAAAAAGAUAGAAAAAUCUAUAUGUGCAAAGAUGUUCUUCGUAGGGCUAUUAAUAAUAAUGAAAAAUUAGAAGCAAUUUAAAUAUCCACCAGUGGCCAAAUGACUAAUUAAAUUAAUAUACAUUUAUCUGAUGGAAUACCACACAGUCAGUGAAAACCAUUAAAUAUAAAAACUAUAUAGCAACAUGGAAAAAAAUAAUAUAAUGGUGUUAUGUGAAAAAAGAGGCAAGACAAAAAUGUAUAUACACUACAAUUAUGGUAUGAAAAUAAUUAUGCAAUGACUGAUGUGAAAUUUCUAAAAUGAUAUUAUAUUGGGAAGUAGGGGGUAUAGAAGGAGAAGUUAUUUUUCUUUGUUUCUACACAUUUAUGAAAUGACUUUAUAAGCAGAUAAUUUUAAUGUAUACUUUUCCUUUAAGUAACUGAAUGGGAAAAAUAACAAACAAAAACCUUAACAUUGUAUUAUAAAAUGAGCAUUGGCAUAUACCUGCAACUUUCUCAUUGUAAGAAAUACAGCUGUAUACAGGGACACGGUGAAUCAAACCUAUGAAUAUGGGUGGGAUUAACUCAGGAAAGGUGCUAGAUCACUUUUGCCAUCCUUUCUCCUGAUGAAUUAGGCUUACCCAGUUUCACACAAUUGGGAAGGGAAGGCGUCUAGGACUAAAAUUCAAGUUGGGAAAUUCAUACUUUUCAACUCUAUCAUCCUGAUCUACAGCUGUAUUAUAGACUGGCACUCGCAACCUGUGUAUGAUGGCAAGUGUGAUGGCAAACACAACCUCCUGGUUCUGGAGACCGCAGUGCUCACAUGUGUGUGUGUUUUUUUGUUGUUGUUGUUGUUUUGUUUGUUUGUUUUUUGAGAGGGAGUCUCACUCUGUCGCCCAGACUGGAGUGCAGUGGCGUGAUCUCGGCUCACUGCAACCUCUGCCUCCCAGGCUCAAGCGAUUCUCCUGCCUCAGCCUCCCAAGUAGCUGGGACUACAGGCGCCUGCCACCACGCCCGGCUAAUUGUUGUAUGUUUAGUAGAGAUGGGGUUUCACCGUGUUAGCCAGGAUGGUCUUGAUCUUCUGACCUCGUGAUCCACCUCCCUUGGCCUCCCAAAGCACUGGGAUUACAGGUGUGAGCCACCGCGCCCAGCCACAUGUGUGUUCUGUAUUACCUCUGCACCUGCUGCUUGGUAGCCUCGGGUCCUGGUCAGCCUCCCUUCGAACUUCAGCACAAUGCCCUUCGCUCGUCUAAGAGAAGAAAAACAUGAUGGUGAACACAAUUGUAUCACACUUACAAUUUCUGCAAAAUGUGUAAAAAUGCAACAGGAGUAGGUUGCCAUCUUGUCCUGAAAAAUGAUACAGCAAAAGAUGCCAUGAGAGAAUGGAGUUACACAAAUACUUCAUGGUCUAAUUUUUGGUAAUCAGAAAACACCUUAAAAUUUUUUUCUUUAAUAUUUAAAUGGAUGCAUAAUUCAAAAUGAUGAAUUUAUACCAAAAUUAGCUACAACUGAAUUUCUUAAAGGCCUUCCCUGAUUCUGGUGCUUGGCUGGGAAUUCUGAGCUUUGGAAAUCCUGGUGGCAGACACGUGCAUCUUGGCCUCUCCACUUAGCAAUUUUCCUCUUGCAGUCAAUUGUUUAAAACUGCAAAUCAGACCUGGCUUCAGAGAAUCUGCCUCAAGUAAAGGUUGGUGUCUGAUUAAUGGCAGCAAAAAAGUCAUGUCUACAUAGACAUGAACAAUCUGAUUCACCGCAAACAAACUUCUAACACACUGAUUGAUCACUCUUGAAUUAACCUGAUAUCUCUGCCUAAAUGUUCAGUCCUGAAAAUGGACUAAAUUCAUUGGGAUAGACAGUUAAACUCAUACCUUAAAUGAACAACAGGAUUAGAAAAUAAAUGUUAGUGCCAUGGACAGACUGAAGUCAAAGGCUCUUAGAGAGAAGAAUGUCACCUUCAAGGUAACCUAAUCAUAUACCACCCCAUGCAGAGAUGCUCAUUAUCUGAUGGUUGGAUGCCCUCUGCUUGAUUAUGUUCAGUGCUGAAAAACUUAGUUCUUCUGAAUUAGCCAUUUUGCUAGUUUGACAGGUUUACUUGGGAGGGUGCUCUGGUCUGUGCAUCACAGCAACCCCCAAUAACACCCACUGGUCUGAGUCCUUCCUUGGAAAACACAAGGUACAAGCCAACUCCUUUAUCCACAGACAGGAUGAUCUCUCCAAAACAUUACCUAACCAGAGUUCUUGGUUUUGGAUCUCUCUUCCUACCAUUGCAACAUCUCCAUCUUAAUAGCCUAGCCAAUGCAUUGACUUCAUUCUGGCCAGAACCAAAAUGUAGGUCAGGAGCAAGGUUGAUGUUCUACCCCAUACCAUGACUACCAUGUUGGGACCAUCUUAAUAGAGCUGUCUGCUGCAAGUUUUUAAAAAGUAAAAGCCUAUUGAAGUCAAAUAACAAUUCAUUUUAUAUCCUUAUUUAUUUUUUAUUUUUUUCUGAAAAUAUUUAAACAUUUUAUGCACACCUAUUUUGGGUCAAGCAUAGUGGAAUACAGAGUUGCCUAAAACAGAGUUUCCGCCAGGUGGGGUGGCUCACACCUGUAAUCUCAGCACUUUGGGAGGCUGAGGUGGGAGGAUUACUUGAGCCCAGGAGUUCAAGACCAUCCUGGGCAACACAGUGAGAUCCCAUCUCUACAAAAAUAUUUAAAAAAUUAGCUGGGUGUGGUGGCACAUGACUGCAGUCCCAGCUACUUGGAAACAUCAACAACAAAAAACCAGAGUCUCUGCCCUGGAAGAGUUCACUACCUAAUAGGGAUGACAGAGACCUUUAAAGACAAUGACUGAGAGACAGUGGGUGUGACAAGAGCUAUGACAGAGGGGUGAUUGGGUGUGGAGGUAGCAGGGAGGGGCGGCCCAAACCAAGGCCCAGUCAUAGACCUAUGCUGAUUUCAUAGGAACUGACCACUUGCUUCCUGCAGGGGAAACAAGCAUGUCCUAUAUCCUCUUAGACAGGUGGCUCUUGCUCCAGACUCAGGGUUAGCUCACUCUGCUUUUAUCUGCAUCCUGCCAUGCUCCCUUGAUUCUCAAGCAGUCAGGGUUCCGUGCUUUUUGCACCUUCCACAGAAGCACUGUGAUGAACCUCAGCAAGUCCAAUGAGGGAAGUGUUGCUCCAGUAGUUUCUCAAGGUGAUGGAGAGGAGAUAUGUGUGGCAAGAGGAUGACGGACGGAGGUGCUCAGAGGGCCAGCUGCACUCUGAGACCCUGGCCGCUGGCCGAACACAUGGCCGGUGUCAGCCAUCUUGGGGCUCUGGAUGUGUUACGUGGGCCAAGCAACAUGGCAGAAGGCCUGGCUUAUUCUUUGGUUUCUGAAGUGCCUUGACAGAAAAGUUACCAUUUGCUCUGCUGUCCCCUCAAAGUUAAAGAGACUUAACCACCUAUUAUUCAGAUAACAAUUGAUCAUCAUCAUUUCAGAAUGAUUUAGCAAAAUUCUAAUAGAAACUAUUUCUUUUUUUUUUUUGAGACAGAGUCUCUGUCACCCAGGCUGGAGGGCAGUGGCACAAUCUUGGCUCACUGCAACCUCUUCCUCCCGGGUUCAAGCAAUUCUCCUGCCUCAGCCUCCCAAAUAGCUGGGACUACAGGUGCCUGCCACCAUGCCCAACUAAUUUUUGUAUUUUUAAUAGAAACAGGGUUUCACCAUAUUGACCAGGCGGGUCUCGAUCUCCUGACCUUGUGAUCCACCCGCCUUGGCCUCCCAAAGCUCUGGGAUUACAGGCAUGAGCCACCACACCCGGCCAAGAACCUAUGUCUUUUUUUUUAAAGAGUAAUUGCUCCAAUGAUUACUUUGGUUAAAUUCCUGUGUUUCAAUAUAAGAGAAAACUGUACUUGGAAUCAGAAAUCCUAGAUUUAAAGCUUAAUUCUAGCACUCAGAAACUGUGUAGCUUGGGUUAGUCUCUUAACCUCUCUGAGUAUCAACCUUCUUGUCUGAAAAAUGGACAUAAUGCCAUCCUUACUCAAAUAAAUGGAAACAAUAGCAGCUGAUAACAGACAUGAAAGGCCCAUGAAGGAGAAUUACUUGGAACAUUUUGAGGAUCAAAACUAUGGAUGACUUUAGCUAUC